rnacentral:rRNA from 1 species
UACGUAGGGGGCGAGCGUUGUCCGGAUUUAUUGGGCGUAAAGAGCUCGUAGGCGGUUUGGUAAGUUGGAUGUGAAAUCUCCAGGCUCAACUUGGAGGGGUCAUUCGAUACUGCCAUGACUAGAGUUCGGUAGGGGAGUGUGGAAUUCCUGGUGGAGCGGUGAAAUGCGCAGAUAUCAGGAGGAACACCGGUGGCGAAGGCGGCUUGCUGGGCCUUACCUGACGCUGAGGAGCGAAAGCGUGGGGAGCGAACAGG